rnacentral:ribozyme from 1 species
GACAAAUAGAAAAUACAGAAGAGUUUUUCUUUUUUCUUUCUUUCUUUGUUUCUGAAGCGGCACUGCAAAAAAAAAGAGAAAAAG